rnacentral:rRNA from 1 species
UACGUAGGGUGCAAGCGUUAAUCGGAAUUACUGGGCGUAAGGCGUGCGCAGGCGGUUAUGCAAGACAGAUGUGAAAUCCCCGGGCUCAACCUGGGAACUGCAUUUGUGACUGCAUGGCUAGAGUACGGUAGAGGGGGAUGGAAUUCCGCGUGUAGCAGUGAAAUGCGUAGAUAUGCGGAGGAACACCGAUGGCGAAGGCAAUCCCCUGGGCCUGCACUGACGCUCAUGCACGAAAGCGUGGGGAGCAAACAGG